rnacentral:rRNA from 1 species
GGCAGCAGGCGCGAAACCUUUACACUGCACGCCAGUGCGAUAAGGGGAUCCCAAGUGCGUAGGCAUAGAGCCUACGCUUUUGUCCACCCUAGGGGUGGUGGACGAAUAAGGGCUGGGCAAGACCGGUGCCAGCCGCCGCGGUAAUACCGGCAGCCCGAGUGAUGGCCGAUCUUAUUGGGCCUAAAGCGUCCGUAGCUGGCCGCACAAGUCCAUCGGGAAAUCCACCUGCUCAACAGGUGGGCGUCCGGUGGAAACUGUGUGGCUUGGGACCGGAAGGCGCGACGGGUACGUCCGGGGUAGGAGUGAAAUCCCGUAAUCCUGGACGGACCGCCGAUGGCGAAAGCACGUCGCGAAAACGGAUCCGACAGUGAGGGACGAAAGCUAGGGUCUCGAACCGGAUUAGAUACCCGGGUAGUCCUAGCCGUAAACACU